rnacentral:rRNA from 1 species
AGCAGCCGCGGUAAUUCCAGCUCCAAUAGCGUAUAUUAAAGUUGUUGCAGUUAAAAAGCUCGUAGUUGAAUUUCGGGGUUAGUAGGUUGGUCAUGCCUCUGGUAUGUACUGGUCUCACUGAUUCCUCCUUCCUGAUGAGCCGUAAUGCCAUUAAUUUGGUGUUGCGGGGAAUUUGGACUGUUACUUUGAAAAAAUUAGAGUGUUUAAAGCAAGCUAACGCUUGAAUACAUUAGCAUGGAAUAAUGAAAUAGGACGUUCGAUCCUAUUUUGUUGGUUUCUAGGAUUGACGUAAUGAUUAAUAGGGAUAGUUGGGGGCAUUAGUAUUCAAUUGUCAGAGGUGAAAUUCUUGGAUUUAUUGAAGACUAACUACUGCGAAAGCAUUUGCCAAGGAUGUUUUCAUUAAUCAAGAACGAAAGUUAGGGGAUCGAAGACGAUCAGAUACCGUCGUAGUCUUAACCAUAAACUAUGCCGACUAGGGAUCGGAU